rnacentral:misc_RNA from 1 species
GAUGAAGAACGUAGCGAAAUGCGAUACGUAAUGUGAAUUGCAGAAUUCAGUGAAUCAUCGAGUCUUUGAACGCACAUUGCGCCCCCUGGUAUUCCGGGGGGCAUGCCUGUCCGAGCGUCAUUGCUGCCCUCAAGCCCGGCUUGUGUGUUGGGUCUCGUCCCCCUUCCCGGGGGGACGGGCCCGAAAGGCAGCGGCGGCACCGCGUCCGGUCCUCGAGCGUAUGGGGCUUUGUCACCCGCUCUGUAGGCCCGGCCGGCGCUUGCCGAUCAACCAAAACUUUUUUCCAGGUUGACCUCGGAUCAGGUAGGGAUACCCGCUGAACUUAAGCAUAUCAAUAAGCGGGGA